AGGCGGGGCCCCCAAAUGAGGGGCGGGGUGUGCGGCGGAAGGGGAGGGGUCUGGUGGAAGGGGCGGUGCCCUACGGAAGGGGCGUGGUGCGUGACGGAAGAGGCGGGGCCCGAAGUAAGGGGCGGGGUGUGCGGCGGAAGGGGGGCGGUGCCCCACGGAAGGGGCGUGGUGCGUGACGGAAGAGGCGGGGCCCGAAGCAAGGGGCGGGGUGUGUGAGGGAGUGGGAGGGGUCUGGUGGGAGGGGUGGGGCCCUAAGGUGGGGGCGGAGUAUGUGACGGAAGGGGCGUGGUGCGUGGCGAAAGAGGCGGGGCCCGAGCGAAGGGGCGGGGCCUUGUGGACGGGCGGGGUGUGAUGGAAGAUGGACAGGAGCGGGCGGGGCGCGAUGGGAGGGGAGGGGUUAGGUGGAAGGGGCGGGGUCCGGCCGCAGGGGUGGGUGGAGUCUUCCCUUGGUCGCCUGUCUUGGGCACCUUUAAGCGCUGUCCUUGCUCUCCAGUCUGGUAGGUGGCGUGGCCGUCCCGGGCAGGAGUGGCCGGCCUAAGGACGGGGGACGGGGCGCUCUGCUCAGAAACCAAAGCCUUGGCACGCUUCGUGUCCUAGGACGCUUCGGGCCGUUGGUGAAGAUCCGCGCCUCCGACCUGGGCUGUGUGUCCCGACCCCGGCCCUGGGGACAGUUUCAGGAUGCCCUCUACCUGCCCCGGUCGGGGUGUCCCUGCGGCCACCCGCGUAGUCUUUGUAGAGGCUUCAGCGGCUCGCAACAGAGAUCCCAAGUAGGCCGAGAAGCAGGCAGAGAGAG